CUUUCAACUGUCUCCCAAGGUUUCCAUGGAAACAAUGAUUAUCCUCAUGUGUUGUAGAAUCUGAGCAGAAAACUUCAGUAUAAGUAAGGGACAGAUUCGACAAAUGACAAAAUUCCAACUUCCCAGC
ensembl:misc_RNA predicted gene, 27285